AGUGAACGCUGGCGGUAGGCCUAACACAUGCAAGUCGAACGGCAGCACAGUAAGAGCUUGCUCUUACGGGUGGCGAGUGGCGGACGGGUGAGGAAUACAUCGGAAUCUACUUUUUCGUGGGGGAUAACGUAGGGAAACUUACGCUAAUACCGCAUACGACCUACGGGUGAAAGCAGGGGAUCUUCGGACCUUGCGCGAUUGAAUGAGCCGAUGUCGGAUUAGCUAGUUGGCGGGGUAAAGGCCCACCAAGGCGACGAUCCGUAGCUGGUCUGGGAGGAUGAUCAGCCACACUGGAACUGAGACACGGUCCAGACUCCUACGGGAGGCAGCAGUGGGGAAUAUUGGACAAUGGGCGCAAGCCUGAUCCAGCCAUACCGCGUAGGUGAAGAAGGCCUUCGGGUUGUAAAGCCCUUUUGUUGGGAAAGAAAAGCAGCAGGUUAAUACCCCGCUGUUCUGACGGUACCCAAAGAAUAAGCACCGGCUAACUUCGUG
rnacentral:rRNA from 1 species